rnacentral:rRNA from 1 species
AUCAAACAAGUAUAGGCUUACGGUGGAUGCCUAGGCACCCAGAGUCGAUGAAGGGCGUGGUAACCGACGAAAUGCUUCGAGGAGCUGGAGACAAGCACCGAUUCGGAGAUUCCCGAGAUGGGGCAACCUUUUCAAACUCCCUCUAGAAUUCAUAAUGAGGGGAGAGGCAACCCAGUGAAUUGAAACAUCUUAGUAGCUGGAGGAAAAGAAAGCAAAAGCGAUUCCCUUAGUAGCGGCGAGCGAAGGGGGAGUAGCCUAAACCGGCUGUAGUGCCGGGGUUGUGGGAGGACUGAGUAUUCUUUAUUUUCCUUUUCUUUGCCCGUUGUGAUUGUUGUUUGUUAUUUGGUAUUCAAAUCAAAGAUUUGAAAUAAUCAAUAAUCAAUAGUCAAUAGAUAGUCAAUAGAAAGAGGGAAGAGAGAAAGAUUUGUGUUUGGUUAGGCGAAGCAGCUGAAUCCUGCACCAAAGAUGGUGAAAGUCCAGUAGUUGAAAACGAAGUGCAAAUCUUGUUCACCAGCCUGAUCCCGAGUAGCAUGGGGCACGUGAAAUCCCGUGUGAAUCAGCGAGGACCACCUCGUAAGGCUAAAUACUCCUGGGUGACCGAUAGUGAAUAGUACCGCGAGGGAACGGUGAAAAAGAACCCCUGUUGGGGAGUGAAAGAGAACAUGAAACCGUAAGCUUUCGAGCAGUGGGAGGGUAGCCUGACCGCGUGCCUGUUGAAGAAUGAGCCGGCGACUUGUAGGGGGUGGCCAGGUUAAGGAAGCUUCUCCGAAGCCAUAGCGAAAGCGAGUCUUGACAGGGCGUGAAAGAGAGUCACCUCCUAUGGACCCGAACCCGGGUGAUCUAACCAUGACCAGGAGGAAGCUUGGGUAACACCAAGUGAACGUCCGAACCGACCGAUGUUGCAGAAUCGGCGGAUGAGUUGUGGUUAGGGGUGAAAUGCCAAUCGAACUCGGAGCUAGCUGGUUCUCCCCGAAAUGCGUUGAGGCGCAGCGGUUGACGAGCUCAUCUGAGCGUAGGGCGGUCUAGGGGUAAAGCACUGUAUCGGUGCGGGCUGCGAAAGCGGUACCAAAUCGUAGCAAACUCAGAAUACUAGGCCAGCUGUCCGUCAACCAGUGAGACGAUGGGGGAUAAGCUUCAUCGUCGAGAGGGAAACAGCCCAGAUCACCAGCUAAGGCCCCAGAAUGGCCGCUAAGUGGCAAAGGAGGUGAGAAUGCUAAAACACCCAGUAGGUUGGCUUAGAAGCAGCCACCCUUUAAAGAGUGCGUAAUAGCUCACUGGCAAAGCGUUCUUGCGCCGAAAAUGUACGGGACUAAGCGGUCUGCCGAAGCUGUGAGAUUAUUUCUUUUCUUUCAAAGAAAGAAUAACACGGUAGGGGAGCGUUCCGCUUGAGGGUGAAGGGGCAACGAGAGUUGCCGUGGACGGAGCGGAAGUGAGAAUGUCGGCUUGAGUAACGAAAACAUUGGUGAGAAUCCAAUGCCCCGGAAACCUAAGGGUUCCUUCAGUAGGUUCGUCCGUGGAGGGUGAGUCAGGUCCUAAGGCCAGGCCGAGAGGCGUUGUCGAUGGAAAACAGGUUAAUAUUCCUGUACUCGUUAUCGGUUAGCAGCGAGGGACGAAGGGAGCGCAUGGCCCGGUGCUGCUUUUGUUUCACAGAACAGGACGGUGCCGGUUCAGGGUGCGUCGUGGGGUGAAGAAAAACACCCCGUUUUUUUUUCUGAACAGAGUUCAGACAAUCACGAGACCCCUUCCUAGAAAAGCUCCAACUGUGUCAAUCUCCGAUGAUGACCUGUACCCGAAACCGACACAGGUAGGUUGGUAGAGAAUACCGAGGGGCGCGAGACAACUCUCUCUAAGGAACUCGGCAAACUGGCCCCGUAACUUCGGGAGAAGGGGUGGUGUCUUUCCUUUUUUAAAGCUGGAACGACUCCCGCAGUGACCAGGCCCAGGCGACUGUUUACCAAAAACACAGGUCUCCGCUAAGUCGUAAGACGAUGUAUGGGGGCUGACGCCUGCCCAGUGCCGGAAGGUGAAGGGAGUUGGUGAUUUUCACAUGAAUAAGCUGACAACCGAAGCCCCGGUGAACGGCGGCCGUAACUCUAACGGUCCUAAGGUAGCGAAAUUCCUUGCCUGGUAAGUUCAGGCCCGCACGAAAGGCGUAACGAUCUGGGCACUGUCUCGGAGAGAGGCUCGGUGAAAUAGACAUGUCCGUGAAGAUGCGGACUUCCUGCACCUGGACAGAAAGACCCUAUGAAGCUUGACUGUAGCCUGGGAUUGGGUUUGGGCUUCUCUUGCGCAGCCUAGGUGGGAGGCGUUGAUCGUCUGCUUUCGGGGAGACGGGAGCCGCUUGUGAGAGACCACCCUGGAGAGGCUAGAAUCCUAAUGGCGAUCCUUGAACCAGGACGCUUGACAGUCUCAGGUGGGCAGUUUCACUGGGGCGGUGGCCUCCUAAAAGGUAACGGAGGUGUGCAAAGGUUCCCUCAGGCUGGACGGAAAUCAGUCAUAGAGUGUAAAGGCAGAAGGGGGCUUGACUGCAAGACCUACAAGUCGAGCAGGGGCGAAAGCCGGCCUUAGUGAUCCGACGGUACCUCGUGGAAGGGCCGUCGCUCAACGGAUAAAAGUUACUCUAGGGAUAACAGGCUGAUCUUCCCCAAGAGUUCACAUCGACGGGAAGGUUUGGCACCUCGAUGUCGGCUCCUCGCAACCUGGGGCGGUAGCACGUCCCAAGGGUUGGUCUGUUCGCCCAUGAAAGCGGUACGUGAGCUGGGUUCAGAACGUCGUGAGACAGUUCGGUCCAUAUCCGGUGGAGGCGUAAGAGCAUUGAGGGGAGCUUUCCAUUGUACGAGAGGAUUUGGAAGGAUGUACCAAUGGUGUACCAGUUCUCGUAAUUCUUUGAAACGGGAGACGCUGGGUAGCUCUGUACAGAGUGGAUAACUGCUGAAAGCAUCUAAGCAGGAAGCCCACCCCAAGAUGAGUGCUCUAUGGGAUCACCGGGAGACUACCGGUUAAAAAGGUGUCCGGUGUAAGGCCAGCAAUGGUUGUUUCAAAUCUUCGAUUUGAAUAGCUGAGGCAUACUUCCAGAUCCCAGUGUUUGAU